AGGGGUGUAGCUUAGUGAGCAGAGUGCUUGCUUGGCAUGUAGAAGGCCCUGGGUUUGAUCCCCAGCACCACAU
rnacentral:tRNA from 1 species